rnacentral:rRNA from 1 species
CUACGGGGUGCUGCAGUCGCGAAUCAUUUACAAUGCACGAAAGUGUGAUAAUGCGAGCCAAAGUGUUUUUCGUAUAGAAAAACUUUUUCUUACUGUAAAAAUGUAGGAGAAUAAGGACUGGGAAAGACCGGUGCCAGCCGCCGCGGUAAUACCGGCAGUUCAAGUCGCAUCCCUUUUUAUUGGGUCUAAAACAUCCGUAGCUUGUUUAUUAAGUCUCUUGUGAAAUCCCACGUCUCAAGCGUGGGGCUUGCAGGGGAUACUGGUAGACUAGAGAUCGGUAGACGGAAGGAGUACGCCGGAGGUAGUGGUAAAAUACGUUAAUCUUCGGUGGACUAACAAUCAGCGAAGGCACCUUACGAGGACGAAUCUGACAGUGAGGGAUGAAGGCCAGGGGCGCAAAACGGAUUAGAUACCCCCGUAGUC